GGGGGGGGGGGGGGGCGGGGGGGGCGCGGGGGGGGCGGGCGGGGAGGCCCCUUCGGGGGUGCUCGGGUGGCGGGCGGGUGGGUGACGCGUGAGUAACCUGCCCUUGCCUUCGGGAUCGCUUCAGGACCCUGGGGCUAAUACCGGAUAGGCAUCCUUGCUUCAUGGUGGGGGUUGGAAAGCUUCGGCGGUUUUGGCUGGGCUCGCGGCUUAUCCGCUUGUUUGUGGGGUAGUGGCUUACCAAGGCUUUGGCGGGUAGCCGGCCUGGGCGGGCGACCGGCCACAUUGGGACUGAGAUACGGCCCAGACUCCUACGGGAGGCAGCAGGGGGGAAUAUUGCACAAUGGGCGGAAGCCUGAUGCAGCAACGCCGCGGGCGGGAUGACGGCCUUCGGGUUGUAAACCGCUUUCAGCAGGGGCGAAGCUUGUGGUGACGGUACCUGCAGAAGAAGCACCGGCUAACUACGUG
rnacentral:rRNA from 1 species